GACGAACGCUGGCGGCGUGCCUAAUACAUGCAAGUCGAGCGCGGGAAGCAGACUGAAGCCUUCGGGCGGACGUCUGUGGAACGAGCGGCGGAUGGGUGAGUAACACGUGGGCAACCUGCCCUGUAGAUUGGGAUAACUCGCGGAAACGCGGGCUAAUACCAAAUAAUCCAUCGUACCUCCUGGUACGAUGUUGAAAGACGGUUUCGGCUGUCACUACAGGAUGGGCCCGCGGCGCAUUAGCUAGUUGGUGGGGUAAUGGCCUACCAAGGCAACGAUGCGUAGCCGACCUGAGAGGGUGAUCGGCCACACUGGGACUGAGACACGGCCCAGACUCCCACGGGAGGCAGCAGUAGGGAAUCUUCCACAAUGGACGAAAGUCUGAUGGAGCAACGCCGCGUGAGUGAAGAAGGAUUUCGGUUCGUAAAACUCUGUUGCGAGGGAAGAACAAGUACGAAGUAACUACUCGUA
rnacentral:rRNA from 1 species